AUGAACGCUGGCGGCGUGCCUAAUACAUGCAAGUCGCGCGAACAGACGAGGAGCUUGCUCCUCUGACGUUAGCGGCGGACGGGUGAGUAACCCGUGGAUAACCUACCUAUAAGACUGGGAUAACUUCGGGAAACCGGAGCUAAUACCGGAUAAUAUAUUGAACCGCAUGGUUCAAUAGUGAAAGACGGUUUUGCUGUCACUUAUAGAUGGAUCCGCGCCGCAUUAGCUAGUUGGUAAGGUAACGGCUUACCAAGGCAACGAUGCGUAGCCGACCUGAGAGGGUGAUCGGCCACACUGGAACUGAGACACGGUCCAGACUCCUACGGGAGGCAGCAGUAGGGAAUCUUCCGCAAUGGGCGAAAGCCUGACGGAGCAACGCCGCGUGAGUGAUGAAGGUCUUCGGAUUGUAAAACUCUGUUAUUAGGGAAGAACAAAUGUGUAAGUAACUAUGCACGUCUUGACGGUACCUAAUCAGAAAGCCACGGCUAACUACGUG
rnacentral:rRNA from 1 species